rnacentral:rRNA from 1 species
GACGAACGCUGGCGGCGCGCCUAACACAUGCAAGUCGAACGGAGAGCGUAUUUUGAAUUCUUCGGAAGGAAAGAUACGUUUCUUAGUGGCGGACGGGUGAGUAACACGUGAGCAACCUGCCUUGCAGAGAGGGAUAACGAUUGGAAACGAUCGCUAAUACCACAUAACAUAUGGAUAUCGCAUGAUGACCAUAUCAAAGAUUUAUCGCUGCAAGAUGGGCUCGCGUCUGAUUAGAUAGUUGGUGAGGUAACGGCUCACCAAGUCGACGAUCAGUAGCCGGACUGAGAGGUUGAACGGCCACAUUGGGACUGGGACACGGCCCAG